UACGGAGGGGGCAAGCGUUGUUCGGAUUUACUGGGCGUAAAGGGUUCGUAGGCGGUGUGGCAAGUCGGGAGUGAAAUCUCUGGGCUCAACCCAGAGUCUGCUCCCGAAACUGCUGUGCUUGAGUGUGGGAGAGGCGCGUGGAAUUGCAGGUGUAGCGGUGAAAUGCGUAGAUAUCUGCAGGAACACCCGUGGCGAAAGCGGCGCGCUGGACCACUACUGACGCUGAGGAACGAAAGCUAGGGGAGCAAACAGG
rnacentral:rRNA from 1 species